rnacentral:hammerhead_ribozyme from 1 species
UCACCGAUGAGGAGUCCCAUACUAGGACGAAACGGCCGUCCAGUGU